GUAAACACUGGUGAGGUCGAUGGGCCGUUACGUGUUAUGUUUGCGUCAAGUUUACCGUAACUUUUCUAUGCAAGCAGAGGAAGGGCGUGGCGUGAAAACAGGAAGCCGCCGACGAGGAUGGGAUUCGAACCCACGCGUGCAGAGCACAAUGGAUUAGCAGUCCAUCGCCUUAACCACUCGGCCACCUCGUCUGAAAAUCAUCCCUCAAGACCUUCAAAUUUGGACCUGAACUGCCAACACUCACCAACAGGCACCGCCAGCUCUGACACCAAUUCAACAUGCUGAAUCAGCAAAAAAAAAAAAAAAAAAAAAAAAACAAGGGCCAACAAGCACCAACAAUGCUGGAUGUGCUGCAAAAACAAGGUCGACACUUGCUCACCAACGGCCCAACAUGGACCGACAAUGUGAGAUCGAAACAAACUCAUACAAGGGUCAUCACCUCCUCCUUCCACCUCUCCCAGCCCGCUCUGACCCCUCUUGCCCGGGAUGCUCAUCCUGUUUCCUAUAGUUUCCUCUUCCCCACGGACAGGAAAUGGCUGGAGCCCACGGAUACUCACACAGGCGGGAGCCGGCAGGAAGUGAUCUCACUGCAGCACCUGCAACCAGGAAAUAGAACAGCCCCAGCAGGGAGGUGGAGGAACAGAACGUUGUGGAAGAACCAAGACCUCUGGGAUGAAGAGGGACACCAACUGUGAGCCAAAACGUAUUGCUCAACAUUAGUGCCCGACCUCACCAGUGCCGUGGUCGAUGAGUUUGAGCAAGACCCUGCUGUCAGGUUUCAAAUCUCAGGAACAGUAUUUCAAGAAGUGAGAAAGCAGCCUGUUAAUCCGUUUUGGUCUAGAAGUCUUCUGGAGCUCAAUGAUGGAUGAUGGUGGACGGCGGACAUGAUGGGCCUGGAAGCUGUAAUUCUACUGUUUGGCCACUAUGUCAAACUCGCUUCAAAGGCCAGCACUGUUCCUGGAGACUUGCUUUGACCGAGGCAAUAUCAAGAAAAGGACCAGGUGACGUGUGUGGAACUUCAGUCUGGUCAUCCUUCCCUCUCCUGUUCACUGUGUUACUUGGCGCCAAAGAUGGUCAAGUGCUCAAGGAUACCAACCACCAACAUAGAGAGCAACAAAGCUGCGGUUUCUGAAUUUCCAUCACUGACCACCAAGGAGGAAGCAGAGAAGUGAUUCUUGCUGCCUUUGAGCUGUCAGAGGAACUUCACCCACCACCAGCUUCAGUGCCACAGAGCUGAGUCAAAGCCUAUUCGCCAAACCGAUGAGAGGGCACGCAGUCUCCUCCCCCAGCGCCCACCAACCAAACCAUCUAUCACCAGGCAAGCCAGUCUGCACAGAGGCAGGCCAGGGAGGGCAGCAACACCUCUGCUGCCUCUGAGCUGCUCUGCUCCUGUAAACACAGCAGUGACUGCUCGGUGUCACGCAGAAAAAAAGAAGGACACAAGCAGGCCAGCUUCCCAUCAGUGCUAUGUUCAGCUAGUAGCCUAAUGCAUAUGCAGUGAGUAGACACACAAACACACACACACCAAGUUAGCUUGCCCCCAGCUGUUUUUAAACCUGACUGAAAACUAUUUUAUUCAUAGCUUAAUGCAAACAGAAAAAAAUCCAUUGGCUGCAAAUUACUCUCUUGUCAUAUCUUUAGCUUGUUCCAUUUCCUAAUAAGUUAUUUAAUCACAGAAAGUAAUCCCACUAUGUGUAGAGUAGUAAUUACACAGAAAAAAAUA